CCUACGGGGGGCAGCAGUGGGGAAUAUUGCACAAUGGGGGAGACCCUGAUGCAGCAACGCCGCGUGAAGGAAGACGGUUUUCGGAUUGUUAACUUCUUUUCUUAGUGAAGAAUAAUGACGGUAGCUCAGGAUCAAGCCACGGCUAACUACGUGCCAGCAGCCGCGGUAAUACGUAGGGGGCAAGCGUUGUCCGGAAUUACUUGGUGUAAAGGGAUCGCAGGGGGGAAGUCAAGUCAGCUGUGAAAACUACGGGCUUAACUUCUAGACUGCAGUUGAAACUGUUUUUCUUGAGUGAAGUAGAGGUAGGCGGAAUUCCGGGUGUAGCGGUGAAAUGCGUAGAUAUUCGGAGGAACACCGGUGGCGAAGGCGGCCAACUGGUCUUUAACUGACGCUGAGGCUCGAAAGUGUGGGGAGCAAACAGGAUUAGAUACCCUAGUAGUC
rnacentral:rRNA from 1 species